AUGACCAAGACUGACCCCAAGACCAUGCAGGAUCUUAUUACCUCGGUGGUGCAGACACUCCUGUAGCAGAUGCAAAAUAAAUUUCAGACCAUGUCUGACCAGAUCCUUGAAAGAAUUGAUGAUAUGAGUAGUCACACUGAUGAUCUUGAGAAAAGCAUCGGAGACCUCACGAUACAGGCUAGAGUAGAAGAACUGGAAGGUGAAAACAAGUUACCUGCUACUCAAAAGAGUUGAAGGUUGCUAAUAUUAAUAAUUUACACUGAAAUCUGGAACAGUAUUUUUCAAAGCCAAGAGAAGAUUGAAUGGCUUUUUGAAGUUAACUACUAUGUGUAGACAGGUUUUAUAUUAUAAAAUGUGCAUUCUUACCACAUACUAUAUAAUUAGCUUAUAGAGUGGUUUAUCCCCCAGUUUCUUGAACAUGGUAUCUUCACAUCUUGGACCUUGGUCAGUUGUGCUAUUAAUUAUUAAACACUA